rnacentral:rRNA from 1 species
CCUACAUGUGUAGGAUAGGUGGGAGGCUAUGAAGACGUGACGCCAGUUGCGUUGGAGCCGUCCUUGAAAUACCACCCUUGUAUGUUUGAUGUUCUAACUUAGACCCGUUAUCCGGGUUGAGGACAGUGCCUGGUGGGUAGUUUGACUGGGGCGGUCUCCUCCCAAAGAGUAACGGAGGAGCACGAAGGUGGGCUAAUCACGGUUGGACAUCGUGAGGUU